rnacentral:lncRNA from 1 species
AAUAGAUGGGAGCAGCAGUCAGCGUCGUGCAACCUCUCAUGUGCAGUGCAGCUGCACUGACGCUUUACGUUGGCAUCCUUCGUUAUCUUUUCAAGGCCAGCGUGCUUUCUCACAUCGAAUGUCUCCCCAUAUAAGUGGUAGUGAAACGCGCUCUUUCACCACAACGUCAGCGAUCCGUGCUGUAAGACGCUUUUCUUUCCACGCACCAGCGAUCACUCGCCAAGCGAAACCAUGGACGCCUACAUCCUGGGUGAAAGCCAGCAACUGAGCGAAAUCUGUGCAAACUUGGGCCUCUAGUCAACACGGCGUUUCGGGCACUGCUUUUUUUUCUUCUAUUCGGGAUCAUGACAUGACCAUCCCGAAAUCAUCACGAACAACGAACACUGUACGUCUAAUAUGAUUCCCUUAGAAAAGCACUGGACAUUGUAUACCACACUGAAAACAAGGCUUUGAAGACGAAGAUGUACCAGAAUAUCCUGAUAGAAACGUGCAGAUGUCCGGAAGCGAUCAGAAGAAAGCAGGCCAAUACAGAGCUAAAUAAACAAUUUUGAAAAAAAGUAAA